rnacentral:hammerhead_ribozyme from 1 species
AGCCGAAACAGCCUACGGGCUGUCUGGGUGUGGUGGUUCACACUCACUGAUGAUGGCAGCCGUUA